AGUUGACAUGUCAUCACUUCAUUUUUUGCGCCUGCGCAUAAAUCUGAGAGAUGUGAGUUUGUCAUCAUUGUUUAUCUAGACAUAGGAUAGGUUGUGUGAAAAUAUUACUGAUGUUUAACGUUAAAAAUGGACCAAAAGAUUAAUGCUAAACAACAUUUGACAUGUUUGAACGAACAUAAAUAGAUUAUUUACUAGGUUUUUUUUUAGCUUUUCGGCGUGAUUUUACACUCCCCCCACCACGUUUUGUGGGAGCAUAAUGAACGCUAAGUACUUUGUGUUAUUUGGACAUAAAUUAUGAACUUUGUCAAAAGAAACCACAUUUGUUCCGGACCUGGGAUGCCUUCCGGACCUGGGAUGCCUGCCUUCUGAUGGAGAUAAUCAAAGGCUCCAGCCAACAGUGAAUUUUCCACCCCAAAAAAGAAAAAAAAUGAAAAGAAGGAUAACUUCCAAUACCCGCAGUGGCUGUAUUGGGGCUGUAUUGGGGAUGUGUCACGCCUGCUCCUGCUCUUCCCCCCUGGCGCUCGAGGACAUCCGGGCUCCCCAGCGUUGCGCACUCCUGCCACCAUCAUUACACACACCUGCUUCCCUCGUCAUGCGCAUCAGCGAUCACCUGUUGUAUUUUCUUCCCUAUAUCUGUCUGUCCCCCAGCUCUGUUCCCGGCUUCAACAUUAACAUUUGUGUGUGGUUUUGUUACCCGUGUGCUGAUGCUGUUCCUGUCUUGUUCCUUGUCUGUUCCUAAUUAAAUGUUUGACUCCC
rnacentral:lncRNA from 1 species